GUGCACUUCAUUUUAGUCCGUGUGGAAAUCAAGAGAUGCACUAGUUUGGAGGCUUGUUUUUCUGUGAUGAUAACACAGAAACGAUCAACUUUAAUAUAUCAUGAUGAAACAGUCCAAACUAUCUGCUGGAAAGCGUCUUACAAAGCCGAUUCUUUUUGGGACACUGCUCGUAGGUUUGGCUACGGCGUUUUUCAAUAGGCAUCGGUUCAUGGAGGAUGUUGCAGACUUCAGGAGCUGGAGAGGUCCCGUAAUGAGGCCAAACGCCAUGAAGUGCUGGAAAGGAGGCAGAGACAAAUGGAUGAACAUGUAAAGAAGACUGGAGGAGGUAGCUGAGAUUUCUUCACUGCUGUCUGAAUGGAUUUCUGUGAGAACCUAAUACUCAAGAACCAAACGUGGGACAUUUUAGCCUAUAAGGUUUUGUGAAGUGUUAAUUGUUCCGUUUUUGCUAUUAGAAUGAUUUUACAGGUUGUCUGUCCAAUCAUUGUAUGCAUCGAUGAGAAAGUUGGGAAUAGCAAGAUUUCAAGAAUAUUCACAGGGUGUUGUUGAGACCUGCUUGGAAGGUCAAAAAAAUAAUCUGGAUACAUGUAAAUGAAUGAAUUGUUGCACCACUCACGAAGCAUUAAAGCCUUAUUACAUACAAAAACAUUUGAACACAAUACAGUUAUUACAGUAAGAGUCUUGAAGUCCAACUGAGAACACAACCAUUUAUUUGAGCACACAAAGUAACAAAGUGCAUCUGGAACUCAUUGCACUAUUCAAACCAAACUGAUUAGGAUUUGUCAUUUACCACCAGGAAAAGUCUAUAAAAAUGAACGUGUGCACAUUUGAACUAAUACUAUGGGGCUGGGAAACCAACCUGAGUGUCAUAUUAGUCAGUCGAUUGUCAUUAUCACCAGUACAAUGAUUAAACCUGCUGUAUCCUCA